GAUGUAGCUCAGUGGUACAGCACUUGUCUGACAUGCUCAGGGCCCUGGGUUCAAUCCCCAGCACCA
rnacentral:tRNA from 1 species